rnacentral:rRNA from 1 species
UUUUAACCGAAAACCCCUGAUCUCUUCUAUAGUUCAUAGGUUAGUAUUCAGGUAGAAAGUUAUAAACUAUAGGUGUGCUGUGAAAAAUUAAUCGUCGGGGUUGAUAGCUGUUUAACAACUAAAGAUUUUGGAUAAUUUGUAAGGUUAAAAUAUCUUAUGAAGUUAUACAUUUGUUGUUUUUAUAAUUAUAAUAGGGUUAAAAGUACCCAUUUAUUAUGAGGUUGUUUAAAGGCUUUGUUGCGUACGGAUAAAAUUAUGUUUAAUAGUUGUUUACAUGACAUGUAGAGAUUAUUUAUAUCUAAAUAAGUAAUAAAAAUAAAAUAGUCAUUUCUAAAGUGCUGCCCGUCUGUUUAUUAAAAACAUUUCCAUAUAGAAAUUUUUAUGGUAGUACCUGCUCAAUGCGUAGAUUGUAAAUAGCCGCAGUAUUUUGACUGUGCAAAGGUAGCAUAAUUAAUUGCCUUAUAAUUGAAGGCUUGUUUGAAUGGUUUGACGUGGUAGUUACAAAUGUUUGUUUUUUAGUUGAAAUUGAUUUAGAGGGCACAGAAUCCUCUAAGAUUAAUUAGACGGAAAGACCCCAGGAUCUUUUAUUUUUGUCUGGGGCAGAUGAAAAUUUUUUAUUUUUAUUUUGACCCCUAGAGGGUUAUUGGUUAAGUUACCCUGGGGAUAACAGUGUAAUAGUUUAUUAGAGAUCGUAUCGAGUAAACUGUUUGCUACCUCGAUGUUGACUUAGGUAAAUAUAUUAGGCGCAGUAGUCUAAAAUUUUGGUCUGUUCGACCACAAGUACCUCCAUGAGUUGAGUUAAG